GACGAACGCUGGCGGCGUGCUUAACACAUGCAAGUCGAACGGUAAGGCUCCAGCUUGCUGGGGUACACGAGUGGCGAACGGGUGAGUAACACGUGGGUGACCUGCCCUGCACUUCGGGAUAAGCCUGGGAAACUGGGUCUAAUACCGGAUAGGACCAUGGUGUGGAUACUGUGGUGGAAAGUUUUUUCGGUGUGGGAUGGGCCCGCGGCCUAUCAGCUUGUUGGUGGGGUAAUGGCCUACCAAGGCGGCGACGGGUAGCCGGCCUGAGAGGGUGGACGGCCACAUUGGGACUGAGACACGGCCCAGACUCCUACGGGAGGCAGCAGUGGGGAAUAUUGCACAAUGGGCGGAAGCCUGAUGCAGCGACGCCGCGUGGGGGAGGACGGCCUUCGGGUUGUAAACUCCUUUCACCAUCGACGAAGGGUUUCUGACGGUAGAUGGAGAAGAAGCACCGGCUAACUACGU
rnacentral:rRNA from 1 species